rnacentral:rRNA from 1 species
UACAGAGGGGGCAAGCGUUGUUCGGAAUUACUGGGCGUAAAGGGCGUGCAGGCGGUUUGUUUAGUCUAGGGUGAAAGCUCCCGGCUUAACUGGGAGAGGUCCUUGGAUACUGGCAAACUUGAGGGAGGCAGAGGAAAGUGGAAUUCCCGGUGUAGUGGUGAUAUGCGUAGAUAUCGGGAGGAACACCAGUGGCGAAGGCGGCUUUCUGGGCCUUACCUGACGCUGAGACGCGAAAGCGUGGGGAGCGAACCGG